rnacentral:lncRNA from 1 species
UUCGUUACAUUUGAUCUGUAAGAAUUCAAUUUUGAAUAAUUUUCAUUUCAAAUUGAUUCACACACAUAGCAGACGCCAACACAUCAAGCGUCAUCAAUACCGUGGUCUAUGGUGCAAUGCUAUCGCUGGAGUAAGUUGUUUACCUUCAAUUCGGGUAGCGUCAUGAUUGGACUACCCUGAUGGCGUCAUGAUCGCUGCUGAUUGCCUUUCAAAUAGGUUUUCAGCAUUCUGCUUACACCUUUGGCAUAGAGUCACAUAUUUCACAAUCCAACAUCAAUUGGUAGCAACAGCAGCCCUUCUCUCCAUCAUCCAGAAGGGUCUGAGAUCAGUGUUGGAGAUGAUGGUUCGGAACAACCCAUGGAAAGCUUAUCACUCAUUGAUGCUGUGAUGCCUGAUGUUGUUGCAAGUCGUCAACAGCAAACACAGAACAAUCAGAAACCACAAGUGGUAAAGACAGAACCACCAAAUUCCAAUGGAGAUGAACCCA